GACGCCGUUUAAAAGAAAACACUGUUACACACGUAUGUCAUGUUCAAGUCCCCAUCCCGACCACGCCCAUCCCCCACUCCGGCCAUGUGGCAAGUGUGUGUGCCGGAGUCCCCAUGGUGUCCAGCCCCUCCCCUCACGUAAGCUGUGAACUCUGCGUCAGAUCUUCACUGCAUGGACGAGAGCAGGCUGGAGUCAUGGAUCAGGGAGAGAUGGAAGAAGAUUUGACAACCAUUCAUGGUCACUGUGACAGCCCUUUCAAUUCUUCAGGAAAUGGACCAGAGCUCUUCUGACUCUACAGUGAUCCUUGAACUAAGUUCCGUCCCUGAAAAGGAGGACAUAAGUGUUCCUGAACUCAAGCGAGCAGAAAGUGUAUUUGUUCAUCAAAAAUGGCGAGAAAGAAGUGGAGCACAGAGGAGGUCCAGGCUGUGGAGAGCAAUCUCAUGGACAACAUCAACUCUGGCAGGGUUCCUGGCAAAGCCCAGUGUGAAGCAUCUAUCAAGGGAUCCUCAGAGGUGC